rfam:Botryobasidium botryosum FD-172 SS1 unplaced genomic scaffold BOTBOscaffold_7, whole genome shotgun sequence.
ACACCGUUGGUGAAACGGUAUCAUGCGCCCUUCCCAAGGGCGCGGCGCGGGUUCGACUCCCGCACGGUGUA